UACGUAGGGUGCGAGCGUUGUCCGGAAUUAUUGGGCGUAAAGGGCUCGUAGGCGGUCUGUCGCGUCGGGAGUGAAAACUCAGGGCUUAACCCUGAGCCUGCUUCCGAUACGGGCAGACUAGAGGUAUGCAGGGGAGAACGGAAUUCCGGGUGUAGCGGUGGAAUGCGUAGAGAUCCGGAAGAACACCGGUGGCGAAGGCGGCCUGCUGGGCAGUUGCUGACACUGAGGCGCGACAGCGUGGGGAGCAAACAGG
rnacentral:rRNA from 1 species